rnacentral:lncRNA from 1 species
GGGCAGCCUAGCUGGCCGUCUCGCAGGUCCCUCUCACCCCCUGCGCCGCCGUCGCACCGUGCCCUCCCCCAUUGCGGGCUCUGUCAUUCUCAAACCCAGGUCGACCCACUCUUCCCGCCCACUGGCCCGCCGCAGCUCCCUCCAUUGGCUCGCGGCACCUGUCCGUUUCCUGGGAGAGUUCAGCACCUCCCGGCAGGAAGAGGCUCCGGCCUCAUUGGGUGCGUGAGAAGGGAAGGGUGGAUCCUAAAAGAUCCCUUUUACAGUUGGAUUCUCCCUCUUGGAUCUGGCUCUGCCUUAGUCCGACCUAGAGGGAUCAGCUUCGCCCACGCCCACUCUCACCCGGAACCUUUCAUCUCUUAUUGAAGCCUUUUAGGCCCAUUGGGAUGUUCAUUAGAACUCUGAAAACUACAGUUCUCCCCUUUAUGAGGACUGCACCACAGCUCGCCCUCUCCUGGGUUCCGGUAAGAAGAGAUUCCAAUACCACUCUUUUUUCAGAAUUCAGAAAGGCAAGAGACCACCUUACUGAGCUUCAAACUGGGGCUGGGAACGCUGCCAUGAAUUGGGCUUGGUCUGUCUGAAGGGAGCCACCUUUUCGACAAUCCUUAGACUUCUUUUGCCUGUUGGAAUUACACCUUGGAUCGUGGCGAAGUCUAUAGAGGUCAGAUUAAGAAGAACCAAAGCAGAAUAAACGUAGAACCCGAUGCUGAGUUCACGAGUGAGGACGACCUCUUCCUAUAUGCUUUGCUAUACCCUGCGUUUUGAACAUUAAGGACGAGAUAGGAGGCCCAUAAUGUUUCUUCUUGCUUUAAUCCUGUCGUGGCAACGUUGACUUCCAGUAAGAAAGCCUGGUUGCAGAGUGAGCCCAUGGGACAGCCCUCUGAAAUUAUACUGCUUACAACCAUGCUGAGUCUGCAAGGACUUCGUCCAAGCCUUUCCGUCCAGGACCUCAAACAGAUCCAAUCACAAGAAGAGAGAUUUCAGGAAAGAGAAAAUUAUUCCUAUCAUCGGGGUUUUUGAAGAACAUGAAAUGACUGGGAAAAUAAUCAUGUUAAGUGGAAAAAAAAAAGAAAUCUAUCUGUUGUAAUUUUCAAAUAAUUUUUAAAUAAAUUUGAAAAAUUAAGAGAACUAUAUAUAUAAUACAUUCCUAAUCUUGUGAAAAAUAUAUAUGCAUUAAUAUUAUUGAAAGAAAUAUAUCAAAAGGUGAACAGCAAUUAUCACCAAUCUAGAUUAUGAGAUUAGGAGUGAUUUUUUUUCUUUGUCCUAUACUAUUUAAUAUUUUCUACCAUUAAAAUAUUCUGAUUUUCUAAUUAGAAUAGUACGUUAGACAAAGAAGGACAAAUAUCACAUGAACUCUCACUCUCUUAUGGAACAGAUCUUGUGGAAUCUAAAAAAGUUGAACUCAUAGAAAAAGAGGAAAAUGAUGGUUACCAGUUAGAAAAAAGGAAUAAGUUCAAGAGAUCUAUUGUACACCAUGGUCAAUAUAGUUAACAAUAUAUUUUAUACUUUAAAAUUGCUAAGGUAGUAGAUUUUAAGUGUUCUCACCACACAAAAAAAUAAGUAUGUGAAAAGCAUAUGGUAAUUAGCUUGAUUUAACCACGCCACAGUGCAUACAUAUGUCAAAACAUCAUGUUGUAUACUAUAAAUAUAUACACUUUUUGUCAAUUUUAAACAGGUUAUAAAAAAACAUGUUAUUGUUGAUAAUUAUGAAAAAUUUUAAUGAUGUGGAAAUGUGUACAGUAUAAUGAUAAAUGAAAGAGUAGUAAAAAUCCUUAUAAAAUAUAA